ACAGUUGAAGUACUAUUGUAUAAGCAACUUGCUUUCUCUCUUUUUUUUUUUAAGAUUUUAUUUAUUCAUGAGAGACACACAGAAAGAGGCAGAGACACAGGCAGACAGAGAAGCAGGCUCCAUGCAGGAAGCCAGGUAUGGGACUCGAUUCCGGAACUCCAGGAUCACGCCCUGAGCAGAAGGCAAAUGCUCAACCGCUGAACCACCCAGGUGUCCCAGCAACUUGCUUUCUCUAUAUUGGAUUAUUAUACAAGGUGCCUGAAGAUAGUGGUGAGGUUGGAGAGGACAGAGGUCACUGCCUGAGAAUGAAGGACAUUGGAAAAAGAGGCAAAGGAACUAGAGAAGUCUUGCCUUUAUCUAUUCACCUUGAAAGAGAG
rnacentral:lncRNA from 1 species